UCUCAGGGGACCUCCUUUACAAAUCCGAGCAGGAAAUGACACUUGCACACCAGGACAUCAUCAUUAAUCCACUGUGCUAGAUGUUGUAGGAUACUCACUCUCCCGAUAGAAACUGAAACUCCUGCAGCUCCCUCCUAAUGCUUCUUAGAUUGUAUCUGAAUUGUGGGACAGGCACAUACCACAGUCCACCCUGGUCACUGUGGACAAUCAGUCAUUCAGAUCAGGGCAUUGACUGGAGCAGACUGUGUGCUCAGCAGUAUAAUUUCAGAGGCUGUGGGAGGUUAGUGCAAAGAGACACAAUGACUGAUCUAAAUCAUCCUCUAUAAUUCAUCUUCGUCAAGUCUCAUUUGUUCUUUCUCUGUCGCCUUUACUGGUGUUCCCCGCAUAGCUUCAAAAUGGUUAACAGAAGACAGAGUGAAAAAAGUGAAGAUUUUGAUAAUAGAACUUGCCCAGAAAACAGAAAUUUAAGGAUAGUGAAAAGUCAGAUCUGUGAUGUACCUACACCUACAGUUUUGCUACUCUUGACUGCAGUGCCAACAGAGAUUUUCCUUCACCUUUGCCCAGGAUGUGUAAUAAAGAAGACUGCUUUUUCUUUUUGUAUUAACAUUAAAGCUGGACAAUAUUGCCCCUUAUGCACAAUAUAGGCCAUGCAUAAAAUAACCUAAUGCACUAUAAAUUUCCUAGAUGAAAUUUAAAGCAUAAGGAAGUGUUCAAUAAAAUUUUAAUGACAUUCUAAGCAUUAAGCAGAUUCAGAAUAGACUUCAAAAUUCAACCUAGCUUUUUUCUUCAAGUGCAGCAGUGGAAAGAAGAAAUUCUUUACUUUUUUGGUAUCUUUAUCUGCUUGCAUAAAUGAGGGACUCUUGUACAGGAUCUGUUAUAAGACUAUGCAAAACUAGUUAUUACUUUUCUGAAGAAAAAUAUGAAUAUCCCAUGAAGCUGCUAUUUUGUAAAGCCUAUCAUGUAGCAUCUAACAAAUAGCCUUGAGGGGCUUCAUAAUUACUGACAGGGAUAUUAGAACUGACAGAUUUCAGGUGUAUUCUAGAGAAUAAAAAGGAAAUAUUAUAGGCUUGGUUAAUGAUUUCUCAUUUAUAUUUACACAUCUGACAAAUAAAGCAACUACUGUCUUACAAGAAAGAUCUGGUUUUGCUACCUUUCAAAUGAAGAUGGAUAGUUCAAACUAUUUUGUUUUCUCUGCUAACAGGAGGGUACCUGAAAUCCUGCAGAGAGAGGCUUGAAAGUCUUAUAAAGCUAUUCCUUAAGAGGUUUCCAAUGUAUUUGCUGAGAUACAUUUCUAACUAAUGGUUGACAUAAUGUUAAGAUAAAACAACUAAUCAUUUUAUGUACCCUUUUUUAGCAAUUAAUGUAAACCAGUUUUUCUGUCCCACACAAUUUUCUUGAAUUUCACAGGAAGAAAAUCAUUACAUAUGCAAAGUUAAUAACAUUAAUAGCAAAAGCAUACAAAAAGAGAAGGUGUUUCAUCCACAAAAAGAGGUUCACUCUUGGGAACAAAAUAACCAGGUUGGUGAACACCACCCAAAACUCACAGCUACAUGGCUUUCCUAGACAAAGAUAAUGUGGUGACUGUUCCUACCCACUGCCCACAUGGCUGCUGGGAACAAAGGCAAGAUGGAGACUAGCAUUUCCCAGCUCCAGCCUGAAAUAACAAAAAUCUGUGACAAACAUAUCCCCAAACCUACACUGGUUGUGCCAGGUUGUGUCUCUGCUGAGCUCAGUUGCUAUUUUCAGACUUGGGAUAGCCUCAUCUAGAUAGUUUUCAGGAUAAUUCUGGAAAUUAUACCAUA